AAAAACAGUCCGUCAGRGUAUUGAGUGAUCACGAAUCACAUCUAUCUUGAGGAGGCAAUCUUGUUUAAACUCUUUUUAAAAACCUGUUGAUCUGAGCUUCGCACAAGAUGAUGAAAAUAGUGCUAGUUGCUGCUUUUUUAGCAGUAUUUUUGAUCGUUACAAAAGCAGAAAUACCAACUAAGAAAAUGAAUUUGGUUGAUGUUAAGAAAGCGCCAGCAGAACUCCAAGAGACUUUGAAGGAACUUCAUGGUAUCCAGCCUGCAAUGCUCGCUAAAAAGAAAAACAGAGAUAAAAUACUGGGGAAAUUUAAGAGGAUGAAAGAUGGAGAGCGAAGUAGGAAGAUGCGCAAGCUUGUUGRAAAGAUGAAGCAUCUUGUACACAAAAAGAGACAUCUCAAACAUCAAAACGAUGGUAAGAUCGAAAAGAUCCAUCACGAACUUAAGGCACUUUGGAAGAGGAUGCGACAUUUGAAGAAGCUGGAAAAACGAAAGCAAAAGCACAAAAGACAUCACCUCAAGAAAGACAUUAAGAAACGGGAAAAACGACGCAAGGCCAAGCGCCAUGAACGGAGGGAACAAUCUCCUAAAGGAGUCCACUAAACACUUCCUAUUUAGCAAUCAAUCAACCCCGCCGAUGUAAACUUAAACAUAUUACAGUGGAUAAAAUUUAUACAUUUGUAUAAUUUCUAAUUGAAAACUUAAAAUCGGUURAACGCACCCAACGUAAAUUUAAAUACUUAGUAAUAAAACAUUAAGUUUUAUGUAAUUUGAAUAAUAGACAUUUUUUAUUGUUAGUCAAACUCGGAAAACACUUUGUAAUACAAUGGGGUUGCUGUGUCAAGAACACACAGGAAGCCCACAAUGUSCUGUAAUUUUUUAAUGAAAAUAAAACUUGAAAUAUUC